GCUGUCCUGGGUCUGAAACGGCUUGACGAGGGGGAGGCCGCGUGGGGUGCACCGAAUCCGCGCGUCACGACUGCCUGCGGUGUGGCCUUGGGCACACGACUGAAUUAGAUUUGGCUGCACGACACAUGUUGAGAGCUACGCCAGGUGAAGAUUUCGGCAUGUCUGAAGUGAACUUUCUGAUAAGUGAGGGACCACGAAGUCAAAAUCCUGGAACUCAACAGCCUCAGACCUGAUUACCCCUGGGUUUUCUGGCAGUAUCUGAUACUGAAGAAUUUGAAGCGGCCCCCUUGCUGGAGCGGCUUUAUAAGAUGUUACCAGUAAAGCUGUCUACAUCUUGAGUUUGAAUACUGUGCGAAGAGGCAAGCUGGAAACAGACUUACACUUUUUGCUAGUGCUGGCACCUGGCAUAAGAAGUCAACAGAUUGGGUAGUGGUGGUCUAGGGGUUAGCAGCGGACCUCUCCUGUCUCCCCCACUGUUCCCCUCAGCAGUGUAUUUCAGUAGGUUUACCUGUUCUGCUCCCCACGCUCUCUGUCUGUUGAAUCCUCUUAACUCUGCACCUCUGGCCUACGCCCCAGUUCUACUCAAAUAAAUUUUUAUUUUUUUUUUUAAAGAUUUAUUUAUUUAUUUAUACAAGAUUGGCUAGGGUCUCCCCAGUGGCGCAGCGGUUGAGCGCUGGGUUGCGAAGCUACCUGCAGCCUCUGCAGCUCCAGUUCGAUCCCCGGCUGCUCCCCGGCCACCGGAGGAGGGUCCCACAUGGCACGCAGACCUCUCCUGCUGCCCGCUGCUCCCCUCAGCAGUGUACUUCGGUCCUUCUGGCUGCUCUGCUCCCUGCUCUGGCUCUGGUGAAUUCUCUCACCCUCCCGCGCUUCUGACUGUACCCAGUGCUUAAAUAAAUAAAUAAGUAAAUAAAUAAAUAAAUCUUUAAAAAAAAAAUAAGAUUGGCUAAAGUUUGCUUGUGAGUUUUUUGUAUCCCUUGAGUUGAUUAGACCCAGAAUGAAUAAAAGGUUCACCUCUAGACACCAUGACUAGCCACACAGUCUACUGUGCUGAGUGAGAAUUCAUGCUGAACUAUUUCCUAUAUACUCCAUUUAGAUGACAGUCAAGAGGUGAUGGGCACGGCCCCUACAUGGCUUGGUAAUGCCCUUUAAUAUGGACUUUUAAAAAAAUCUAAGCUGGGCCUCAGCAGGCUACAAGCUUUGUGUCUUAUGUAGAAUUAGCUGCACUACCUCUUCUUUGCCACUCAUUGGCCUGCUUUAGUGCCCAGUCUAGUCACAACUACAAAUAUUUACAAGCCUGUUACCUGAAAGCUGAGUCAAGUAUAUCCCACCCUAGCUGGGCUCUCCUGUCCAAAGGCAGAUGGGAACCAUGUCCAGUCUUGAAUAGCUGGCUCCUUAGCUUUCAAAUUCAAAGGGCAGAAACACUCAGAAAACGGUUGUCUUAAUAGUAAUAUAAAACAUUUUAAAAAAAAAGGUCUGGUUUUUGAUUUCAUUUCCUUCAGUCCAUUCUGGCUUGUUUGUCUUGGCUACAUCAUGGCAGGGAUCUCUGAAGACACUGUGUCCAGGGGUUGCCAGUGACAGUCCAUCAAUGCAUCAUACAGCUCCUCACUCUGUUCCAUGAACUCCUUGUUGGCUUCUGUCACAUCCAAUUGAGGCGUGGGGUCUGGAAGAGAAGCAAAGGUGGGCUAAGGAGAAGCACUCAACAGCCCAAGAGACCUACAUCCAGUGCCCUAGAGCCAGGAUUUCUAUUGGAUUUGUUUCCUAGGGCUAGUCCCUGUCCCGUCGGUUCUCUGCACUUACAGGGGCUGACAGCAAGCACUGCCCUGGUUCCAGUGAGGAUGAAAGUAAGCUACAUGCCUCAAGAAUGAAGCAUAUAUACUGAAUACAAUCUAGCCAUCACAUGCCCUGGGUUUUCAAAUUUGAGUUUAAAAAGUCACGGCAAAUUACUGAAAAACAAAACACCAAAAAAACCUGUAAUUUCUUACAAGAGAAAUUUUGUGAUUUUCCACAUACAUUUCACAGUAAAGUUUAAAAAUUCUUUUUCACUGACUGAUUAUGUAAUUUUCCUUUAGUCUUCUGUUGGUUUGACAUGCAUAUAAAUACACUCAUGCAUUUAAAAACAAAAACGUGUACUCCCCAAGUUGAUCCAAAGUCAAUGCAUUCACUAUCAAAAUCACCUGACAAUAAAACAGACAUUCAAGGAACUUAGAAUAGUCAAAGAUGAUCUUGAAAAAAAAUGCAAAGACUCAUGCUUCCCUGCUUUCAGUAUUAUGGCAGAGUAUAGUAACGGUGGGAGUAGCCUAGUGACAGCCUCAGCAGGAUUAAGGUACCCACCAAGCCUACAUAUUCAGUUAACCAAUUUCUGACAAGGGUAUCUGAACUCACUGUGUAGAGAACAGUCUUCGAUGCAUGGUGCUGGCACAACUGAAUAAGCACAUGAAAAACGAUGCUAGACUCUUCUUUCACACUAUACAAAAUUCAAUGAAAAAUGGAUCAAAGACCUAAAUGUAAGAACUAAAGCAAUAAAACCCUUGGAAGAAAACAGGUCGUGGUAUCUUAGAAUGAAACUAUAAGCACUAACAAAAGAAAAAAAUAAACUGAGCUUCAUACAAAUUAAAAACUUGUGUACUUCAAAGGAGAUUACCAAGAAGUGAAAAGAUAACUCACAAAAUGAAAUAACUUAGAAAUAACUUAAAUAACUUAAAAAUAACUUAGAAAUCAGGACUCGAGUUAGAAGCAAAGUAGCAUACCACAUAAGGAAAGCAUGUCUUGAGUUGGCCAGGAUUGUUUUUUCAGAUCAAUGUCAUAA